UACGUAGGGUGCAAGCGUUGUCCGGAAUUAUUGGGCGUAAAGAGCUCGUAGGCGGUUUGUCGCGUCUGCUGUGAAAACUCGGGGCUUAACUCCGGCCUGCAGUGGGUACGGGCAGACUAGAGUGCGGUAGGGGAGACUGGAAUUCCUGGUGUAGCGGUGAAAUGCGCAGAUAUCAGGAGGAACACCGGUGGCGAAGGCGGGUCUCUGGGCCGAUACUGACGCUGAGGAGCGAAAGCGUGGGGAGCGAACAGG
rnacentral:rRNA from 1 species